rnacentral:rRNA from 1 species
UAAAUUGAGAGUUUGAUCCUGGCUCAGGACGAACGCUGGCGGCGUGCUUAACACAUGCAAGUCGAGCGAG